GAUGAACGCUGGCUACAGGCUUAACACAUGCAAGUCGAGGGGAAACGACGGGGAAGCUUGCUUCCCCGGGCGUCGACCGGCGCGCGGGUGAGUAACGCGUAUCCAACCUGCCUCUGACUGAGGGAUAACCCGUCGAAAGUCGGCCUAAUACCUCAUGGUAUCGUCUGCGGGCAUCCAACGACGAUUAAAGAUUUCAUCGGUCAGGGAUGGGGAUGCGUCUGAUUAGCUUGUUGGCGGGGUAACGGCCCACCAAGGCUACGAUCAGUAGGGGUUCUGAGAGGAAGGUCCCCCACAUUGGAACUGAGACACGGUCCAAACUCCUACGGGAGGCAGCAGUGAGGAAUAUUGGUCAAUGGGCGAGAGCCUGAACCAGCCAAGUAGCGUGCAGGAAGACGGCCCUAUGGGUUGUAAACUGCUUUUAUGCGGGGAUAAAGUGAGGGACGUGUCCCUCAUUGCAGGUACCGCAUGAAUAAGGACCGGCUAAUUCCGUG
rnacentral:rRNA from 1 species